UACGUAGGGUGCGAGCGUUGUCCGGAAUUAUUGGGCGUAAAGGGCUCGUAGGCGGUUUGUCGCGUCGGGAGUGAAAUCCACUGGCUUAACUGGUGGCUUGCUUUCGAUACGGGCAGACUGGAGGUAUGCAGGGGAGAACGGAAUUCCUGGUGUAGCGGUGAAAUGCGCAGAUAUCAGGAGGAACACCGGUGGCGAAGGCGGUUCUCUGGGCAUGUCCUGACGCUGAGGAGCGAAAGUGUGGGGAGACGAAGCAGG
rnacentral:rRNA from 1 species